rnacentral:tRNA from 1 species
UUUUAAAUAGUUUAUAUAAAAUUUAAUAUUGAAAAUGUUAAGAUGAAAUUUUAGUUCUUUAAAAA